rnacentral:rRNA from 1 species
CAGCCGCCGCGGUAAUACGGAGUGUGCAAGCGUUAAUCGGAAUUACUGGGCGUAAAGCGCACGCAGGCGGUCUGUCAAGUCGGAUGUGAAAUCCCCGGGCUCAACCUGGGAACUGCAUUCGAAACUGGCAGGCUAGAGUCUUGUAGAGGGGGGUAGAAUUCCAGGUGUAGCGGUGAAAUGCGUAGAGAUCUGGAGGAAUACCGGUGGCGAAGGCGGCCCCCUGGACAAAGACUGACGCUCAGGUGCGAAAGCGUGGGGAGCAAACAGGAUUAGAUACCCGUGUAGUCCCUGUCUCUUAUAC